CCCUGCUAACCGUCAGCUUGGCGCACUUUUCUUAUGUUGUGCCAUGUACAUUGUUGGGCUUGCUAGAUUCGGCCCGUACUAUUUUUUUAGGGUCCAUGUAUUUCUCUAAUUAACCGGGACAUUUUUUUAAUUUUAGAGAAUGCCAUAUUUUAAAUUGCUAUAAAUAAUUAAUCAUGCAUCAAAUUAAAAUAUGUUAGAUAUGUAAAAUGUGUAGAAUAUUGUGUAGUAUAGUAUUCUGUACCUUUCAUGCAUGAUAAACAUGUUUAACGUGGUGUAACACCCACAAAAAAAUUGCCAUGAUUUUAUUUAUUAAAAUUUACCAUGGUUAUUUUAAUUAUUUUUUUUGGGUUUCCUACUGACUUGACACCCCUUCUUUUCUGUGAAUUAUAAAAAUUUCUUCUCUAAGUAGAAACUUUUGGAAAAUAUGAUAUGACUUGAAUGCUUGCCUCAAAUAUUCUUCCCUUCAUUUUCAAAUCCAAUGAAGCCUUUUUUAUAAAUAUUUCCUUUUAAGUUCCAUUUAUUCAAACUGGCUUCUUAAUUCUUUAAAGACCUGAUUUGAAUUGCAACCAUUUGGUAACUUCUUUUAAAAAUUUCACAAAAAUUUAUGGAUGACCUAUAAUGCCCCUUGAUCAAUUUUAUGGAAACACUUUGACAAGUGUUUUGAAAAAUUGAGCUCAUUAUCUUCUUUUGCAUUCUGGUCAAAUUUGAUGUUUUGUACUACACCCCCUUGAUUUACUAUUUAAAAAAUUCUAUAAAAAAUUGGAGAUGCCAAGGCAUGCAUGCGAUUCACUUUAUGCAAAAACCCAACUUUGUGCUUUCAAAAAUAUUUGUGAAACAACCCUUUUUCUAUCCUGAUCCAGUUUGGUGAUUUAUACAGCAGCCCCUAUUUUAAUUGCUUUAGUUGCCUUGGGAUUUUUCCUGCUUGUAGAACACCCUAUCAAACCCUAAGGUUCAUGAGAUGAGAGCCAUUGGGAUAUUUGUAGUCCAUGCUUUAAUGCUCCAAAGUUUCUGUCCACAAAAGGUUUUCUCCAACAGUUGUACUAACAAUUGUUUUCUUCUUUUCACGAAGUAACCAUACCAAAUUGACUAACACCUAAAGCACUCUCGAGAUUUUUGUUGGCAUCAAAACUCCUUAGCAGCCUGUGGCAUUUCAUCAAGCACCUAUGGUGCAUGGCCAGAAUUGGCAUGGGUUUAGUCUGCACUAUGGAGAUGUUCCACUGCCCUAGCCAGCAUGUCCUACAGUUUUAGCUUGCUCCUAGACCCAAGCCUGUUAAACCUUAGCAUUAAGGCCCCCUAGCAUGCCAGGGCAUUCUAUCGAAUGCCUAGUGUGUGUGCUUUGGACGCGUCCAGAGCACGUUUUCUUCACGUGCGGGCCCGAGCCGCCGCGUCCCUGCCCUUGACCCUUGCCAACCGUAAGGGCCACGCCACGCCCGGCUAGUGUAUGUUUUUCUCCUGCUGUACCUGCUGCCUCCCUUGCUGGGUUGAGCGCUGCCACUGCCAGCAGAGCUGCUGUGUUGGCGACUGCUUCGGCUCUGCCAUGGACAGCACUGCCCAAGCGCUCCCCAUGCGCCAGCUGCCCUUGGACACCCCUCCUUGCAUCGUCCUGCACGACCAGCCCUGGCAGCCUGCGUCUGCUACAGAGGAUGACGCGGACGAUCUUAUCCUCGGGCCGUCGCGGAGCUCCCUCGGGCCGGCUAUAAAUAGCCUUCCCCAAAGCAGUUGUGUGCUCCACCACCCCCCUCUCAACCCAUAGUAAGCCUCCUGGGAGCCAGUUUGACCCCAUCGGCCAUCGCUUCCGUCUACGGCCGCGCAACCACCGGAGAGCUCGGGUGAAAUCCGCAGCAUUGCGUCCCUGCGCCAAACCCUCCUCGUUUAGCCCCAUGACGGCCACUGGGAACUUAUCCCCGUAGCCACGAGUGUUAAGGACCUCAGGAUGCCGAGCGCUCUCGAAGGCUGAAGCUGCCGUCCGUCGGAGCCCGCGUCACCGGCGACUCCCUCCAUCCCCUCGCCUACGGAGACCACCAGAAGAAUCACCGGGACCCCAUGAAUCCAUCCCCGUGCCUCAGCAAAUGAGAGCUGCAGCUAGUCGCCGGCGAGGAGCCCUGGAGUGCCGCCCUGGUUCGGCCGAUGGUGAUAGGGGACAAACCCGACAGGUGGCCCCCACCUCUCAGUGAGACAACCAAACCCCCCAGUGGCGCAACCCCUCCCCCCGGAAUUUGAAGAAAGAUCAAAGCUUUCAAAAGUUUUGAUGUGCACCUCACCUGUCUACACAUUCAAGGCAAGCAUUCUGAACCUUGAUAUAUUUUGCUAGUGUGUGGGUUGCUGGAUGAAGAAAACAUUAUGGUUAUGUUAGAUGGGUGAUGACAUUUCAUGCGAUGAUCAUGCAUAUGACUUUAUGAUUGAAAGGACUUUAUUGGA